rnacentral:tRNA from 1 species
GCUCGUGUAGCUCAGUUGGGAGAACACAAGACUGAAGAUCUUGGGGUCCUUGGUUUGAUCCCGGGCGCGAGCA